rnacentral:rRNA from 1 species
CCUACGGGUGGCAGCAGUGGGGAAUAUUGCACAAUGGGCGAAAGCCUGAUGCAGCAACGCCGCGUGAGCGAUGAAGGCCUUCGGGUCGUAAAGCUCUGUCCUCAGGGAAGGUAAUGCCGUUACUUGAGGCGGCAGCCCCGGCUAACUACGUGCCAGCAGCCGCGGUAAUACGUCGGGGGCUAGCUUUAUCCGGAUUUACGGGUCGAAAAGGGUGCGUAGGUGGCUUCUUAUGUCAGAGGUGAAAGGCUACGGCUCAACCGUAGUAAGCCUUUGAAACUGGGGAACUUGAGUGCAGGAGAGGAGAGUAGAAUUCCUAGUGUAGCGGUGAAAUGCGUAGAGAUUAGGAGGAACACCAGUUGUGAAGGCGGCUCUCUGGACGGUAACUGACACUGAGGCGCGAAAGCGUGGGGAGCAAACAGGAUUAGAUACCCUAGUAGUC